AUGUGUGAAAUAAGACUUUUCUUUGUUGUGAGGGCACUAGAAGCAUGAGGAUUGGUACAAUUUAAAACAUUUGUUUGAAAAAAGAUGAAAAAAUCUUGUUGAUACUGAAGUAUGUUUGAGGUACCACUUGAAGUUGUGGGAAUUACCUUGAAUUAAAUCUUAGUUAGAAAAAAAGAGAAAAAAAAAGAAGAAGAGAAAGUUACAUGC
rnacentral:lncRNA from 1 species